AUUGAACGCUGGCGGCAGGCCUAACACAUGCAAGUCGAACGGUAACAGGGAUCAGCUUGCUGAUUCGCUGACGAGUGGCGGACGGGUGAGUAAUGUCUGGGAAACUGCCUGAUGGAGGGGGAGAACUACUGGAAACGGUAGCUAAUACCGCAUAACGUCGCAAGACCAAAGAGGGGGACCUUCUGGCCUCUUGCCAUCGGAUGUGCGCAGAUGGGAUUAGCUAGUAGGUGGGGUAACGGCUCACCUAGGCGACGAUCCCUAGCUGGUCUGAGAGGAUGACCAGCCACACUGGAACUGAGACACGGUCCAGACUCCUACGGGAGGCAGCAGUGGGGAAUAUUGCACAAUGGGCGCAAGCCUGAUGCAGCCAUGCCGCGUGUAUGAAGAAGGCCUUCGGGUUGUAAAGUACUUUUAGCGGGGAGGAAGGGAGUAAAGUUAAUACCUUGGCUCAUUGACGUUACCCGCAGAAGAAGCACCGGCUAACUCCGUG
rnacentral:rRNA from 1 species